GGGUGCGAUCGUACCAGUGUUAAUGCACUGUAUCCCAUCGGAACUCCGCAGUUAAGAGGACUUGGGCUAGAGUAGUACUGUGAUGGGUGACCUCCUGGGAAGUCCUAGUGUUGCACCCU
rnacentral:rRNA from 1 species